ensembl:lncRNA
UAUUAGCCUCUGUGAACACAUUAGCUCAUUUCAGGCUGUGAGUUGAGUCUGCCGGUCCCCUUGCUCUGUCCUCUGUGUGCUGAGUCACUCAGUCGUGUCCGACUCUUUGCCACCCCAUGGACCCCCUGCCACCCUCCAGGCUCCUCUGUCUGUGGGAUUCUCCAGGCAAGAAUACUGGAGUGGGUUGUCAUUCCCUUCUCCAGGGCAUCUUCCUGACCCAGGGAUGGAACUUGCUUCUCCUGUGUCUCCUGCAUUGGCAGGCGGGUUCUUUUCCAGUGUGCCACCUGGGAAGUUUGCUCUCUUCUCUGCUACCUGGCUGGAUACAAAGCUGCCUGCCUGAGUGGGGAAUGGUCCUGGGGAAAUGACAAGUGACUCAUCCUUCCCAACAUGUGAAGUUAUUCUGGAGGCGUUCAAAUCCCUCAACACUCUCACUGAUGAUAUGGAUUUAAAAUGCAGAAUCUCUAGUCAACUCCUUUUUUCAGUUCCCUGUUCCAAACUAUAACUUAAUCAGAUGUCACCAUGGAAACAGGUAUUUCUACUUAAGGACCAAUCCUCCCCAUGGAAAUUUGUCUUGUCUAUCUUUUGAUUAUCAUCAAUGAGUGGUGGUGAACAACCAAGA